AGCUGGAUAAAAUCAGGAUGUUAAGUUGCCUGGAUUUCUUAAAACACAGAAGAAGCUGACAACAGUAGCUGACAAUUGGAUUGUUGACAUCCAAAACUCAACCUGCUCAUUGACUUCUGAGGAUGGAAAUUAUUCAAGUCAAGCCAUGUCUGCAAAUUACACAGAAGCCAACGGGCCCCAAUAUUUUAGGAAGUUAGACAGAUCUGGCAGUGAAUUGAGGCUUUUGGCUACAAUUGCAAAACUGGAUCUCUUCUUUGCUUGGCAGCUCAUCUGGCAAGCGAAUCU
rnacentral:lncRNA from 1 species